AUGGCCACAUCACAUUAAAACACUGGUUCCUAUAUGAUCACCAAAGUUAAGAAACAUCAAGCCUACUCAGUACUUAGAUGGGUUACUCCUUGGGAAUACCAGGAACUGUAAG